AUGAACGCUGGCGGCGUGCCUAAUCCAUGCCAGUCGAGCGAACGGACGAGAAGCUUGCUUCUCUGAUGUUAGCGGCGGACGGGUGAGUAACACGUGGAUAACCUACCUAUAAGACUGGGAUAACUUCGGGAAACCGGAGCUAAUACCGGAUAAUAUUUUGAACCGCAUGGUUCAAAAGUGAAAGACGGUCUUGCUGCCACUUAUAGAUGGAUCCGCGCUGCAUUAGCUAGUUGGUAAGGUAACGGCUUACCAAGGCAACGAUGCAUAGCCGACCUGAGAGGGUGAUCGGCCACACUGGAACUGAGACACGGUCCAGACUCCUACGGGAGGCAGCAGUAGGGAAUCUUCCGCAAAGGGCGAAAGCCUGACGGAGCAACGCCGCGUGAGUGAUGAAGGUCUUCGGAUCGUAAAACUCUGUUAUUAGGGAAGAACAUAUGUGUAAGUAACUGUGCACAUCUUGACGGUACCUAAUCAGAAAGCCACGGCUAACUACGUG
rnacentral:rRNA from 1 species